rnacentral:misc_RNA from 1 species
UGCGGAGGGAGCAAGCGUUAAUCGGAAUUAAUGGGCGUAAAUCGCGCGUAGGCGGCAAGUUAAGUUGGGUGUGAAAGCUCCGGGCUCAACCUGGGAACUGCAUCCAAAACUGGCUAGCUCGAGUACAGCAGAGGAUAGUGGAAUUUCCGGUGUAGCGGUGAAAUGCGUAGAGAGCGGAAGGAACACCAGUGGAGAAGGCGACUGUCUGGGCUGAUACUGACGCUGAGGUGCGAAAGCGUGGGGAGCAAACAGG